GGGAUUGUGGCUCAGUGGCAGAGUACAUGCCUCACACAUAUGAGGCACUGGGUUCAAUUCUCAGCACCA
rfam:Ictidomys tridecemlineatus contig075044, whole genome shotgun sequence.